rnacentral:rRNA from 1 species
UACAGAGGGGGCAAGCGUUGUUCGGAAUUACUGGGCGUAAAGGGCGCGUAGGCGGCCCGCUAAGUCGAACGUGAAAUCCCCGGGCUCAACCCGGGAACUGCGUCCGAGACUGGAAGGCUUGAAUCCGGGAGAGGGAUGUGGAAUUCCAGGUGUAGCGGUGAAAUGCGUAGAUAUCUGGAGGAACAUCGGUGGCGAAGGCGGCAUCCUGGACCGGUAUUGACGCUGAGGCGCGAAAGCCAGGGGAGCAAACGGG